rnacentral:rRNA from 1 species
UACGUAGGUGGCGAGCGUUGUCCGGAUUUACUGGGCGUAAAGGGAGCGUAGGCGGAUUUUUAAGUGAGAUGUGAAAUACUCGGGCUCAACUUGAGUGCUGCAUUUCAAACUGGAAGUCUAGAGUGCAGGAGAGGAGAAUGGAAUUCCUAGUGUAGCGGUGAAAUGCGUAGAGAUUAGGAAGAACACCAGUGGCGAAGGCGGUCUGCUGGACAGCAACUGACGCUGAGGCGCGAAAGCGUGGGGAGCAAACAGG